rnacentral:rRNA from 1 species
UACGUAGGGCGCGAGCGUUGUCCGGCAUCAUUGGGCGUAAAGAGCUCGUAGGCGGCCUGUUGCGUCCGCUGUGAAAGCCCGGGGCUUAACCCCGGGUCGGCAGUGGAUACGGGCAGGCUAGAGGUAGGUAGGGGAGAAUGGAAUUCCCGGUGUAGCGGUGAAAUGCGCAGAUAUCGGGAGGAACACCGGUGGCGAAGGCGGUUCUCUGGGCCUUACCUGACGCUGAGGAGCGAAAGCGUGGGGAGCGAACAGG